rnacentral:rRNA from 1 species
AUGAUGCUUUUGCUUAAGGAGAGGCUCAAGAAGAUCAGGGAGCUCUGUAUCCGAGUUCCAGCCAUCCUCUACAGCAAGGAGCUCUCGGCCAAAGGAGCAAGCAGCGCUGCUAGUUCCUUGAGGCCAGAUCGAGUAAGAUGGCGCACCAUGGCGUGUGGUGGCGUAUUUUGCUUCCGAGAACAGUACUGUUUAUUUGAAGUGAGAUGUACUCGUCUAGUGCCUGGCAAAAAAAUGAAGGAUGAAGUGUCAUGUACUGUCUAUGUUGUAGUGAGCUAUAGUAGGAGUGAAAUGAAAAUGUAUCUGUUGUUGCAUGUGCUAUUUUGCUGUAAUGUAUUGUGUACAUUUUACUUGAACAUUAAAUUCUCCAAAAAAAUGUUCUUACUGGACCUGAUAGUGGCCACGGCCCAAAUAUACUUGUACUAUUAA